rnacentral:rRNA from 1 species
AACGAACGCUGGCGGCAGGCCUAACACAUGCAAGUCGAACGCACCGCAAGGUGAGUGGCGCACGGGUGAGUAACACGUGGGAAUGUACCCUUUGGUUCGGAAUAACGUUUGGAAACGAACGCUAAUACCGGAUGAGCCCUGUGGGGGAAAGAUUUAUCGCCAAAGGAGCAGCCCGCGUCUGAUUAGCUAGUUGGUGGGGUAAAGGCCUACCAAGGCGACGAUCAGUAGCUGGUCUGAGAGGAUGAUCAGCCACACUGGGACUGAGACACGGCCCAGACUCCUACGGGAGGCAGCAGUGGGGAAUAUUGGACAAUGGGCGGAAGCCUGAUCCAGCCAUGCCGCGUGAGUGAUGAAGGCCUUAGGGUUGUAAAGCACUUUUGUCCGGGAAGAUAAUGACUGUACCGGAAGAAUAAGCCCCGGCUAACUUCGUGCCAGCAGCCGCGGUAAU